rnacentral:rRNA from 1 species
AUUGAACGCUGGCGGCAUGCCUUACACGUGCAAGUCGAACGGUAACAGGUCUUCGGAUGCUGACGAGUGGCGAACGGGUGAGUAAUACAUCGGAACGUGCCUAGUAGUGGGGGAUAACUACUCGAAAGAGUGGCUAAUACCGCAUGAGAUCUACGGAUGAAAGCAGGGGAUCGCAAGACCUUGUGCUACUAGAGCGGCCGAUGGCAGAUUAGGUAGUUGGUGGGAUAAAAGCUUACCAAGCCGACGAUCUGUAGCUGGUCUGAGAGGACGAUCAGCCACACUGGGACUGAGACACGGCCCAGACUCCUACGGGAGGCAGCAGUGGGGAAUUUUGGACAGUGGGCGCAAGCCUGAUCCAGCAAUGCCGCGUGCAGGAUGAAGGCCUUCGGGUUGUAAACUGCUUUUGUACGGAACGAAAAGCCCUGGGUUAAUACCCUGGGGUCAUGACGGUACCGUAAGAAUAAGCACCGGCUAACUACGUGCCAGCAGCCGCGGUAA